GUGCUUACACAUGCAAGUCGAGCGAUGAGAUCACUUCGGUGAAGGAUUAGCGGCGAACGGGUGAGGAACACGUGAAGAAUCUGCCUUCAACUCUGGGAUAACUCCGGGAAACCGGGGCUAAUACCGGAUAUGAGCCUUGAUCGCAUGAUCGGGGCUGGAAAGUUUUUCGGUUGAAGAUGACUUCGCGGCCUAUCAGCUUGUUGGUGAGGUAAUGGCUCACCAAGGCGACGACGGGUAGCCGGCCUGAGAGGGCGACCGGCCACACUGGGACUGAGACACGGCCCAGACUCCUACGGGAGGCAGCAGUGGGGAAUAUUGGGCAAUGGACGAAAGUCUGACCCAGCGACGCCGCGUGCGGGAUGAAGGCCUUCGGGUUGUAAACCGCUUUCAGCAGGGAAUAAGCGCAAGUGAAGGUACCUGCAGAAGAAGCACCGGCUAACUAUGUGCCAGCAGCCGCGGUAAUACAUAGGGUGCAAGCGUUGUCCGGAAUUAUUGGGCGUAAAGAGCUCGUAGGUGGUUUGUUACGUCGGUUGUGAAAUUCAGGGGCUCAACUCCUGACUUGCAGCCGAUACGGGCAAGCUAGAGUUUGGUAGGGGAGACUGGAAUUCCUGGUGUAGCGGUGGAAUGCGCAGAUAUCAGGAGGAACACCGAUGGCGAAGGCAGGUCUCUGGGCCAAUACUGACACUGAGGAGCGAAAGCGUGGGGAGCGAACAGGAUUAGAUACCCUGGUAGUCCACGCCGUAAACGGUGGGCGCUAGUUGUGCGAACCUUCCACGGUUUGUGCGACGCAGCUAACGCAUUAAGCGCNCNCGCCUGGGGGAGUACGAUCGCAAGAUUAAAACUCAAAUGAAUUGACGG
rnacentral:rRNA from 1 species